rnacentral:rRNA from 1 species
UGUUACUGACGCUAAAGCUCGAAAGUGCGGGUAUCGAACAGGAUUAGAUACCCUGGUAGUCCGCACGGUAAACGAUGGAUGCCCGCUGUUUGCCCUUCGGGGUGAGUGGCUAAGCGAAAGCGUUAAGCAUCCCACCUGGGGAGUACGCCGGCAACGGUGAAACUCAAAGGAAUUGACGGGGGCCCGCACAAGCGGAGGAACAUGUGGUUUAAUUCGAUGAUACGCGAGGAACCUUACCCGGGCUUGAAUUGCAGAUGACGGAUCUAGAGAUAGUGACUUCCUUCGGGACAUCUGUGAAGGUGCUGCAUGGUUGUCGUCAGCUCGUGCCGUGAGGUGUCGGCUUAAGUGCCAUAACGAGCGCAACCCUUCUCUUCAGUUGCCAUCAGGUUAAGCUGGGCACUCUGGGGACACUGCCACCGUAAGGUGUGAGGAAGGUGGGGAUGACGUCAAAUCAGCACGGCCCUUACGUCCGGGGCUACACACGUGUUACAAUGGCCGGUACAGAAAGUCGGAUGCCCGUAAGGUCAUUCUAAUCAAGAAAGCCGGUCCCAGUUCGGACUGAGGUCUGCAACCCGACCUCACGAAGCUGGAUCGCUAGUAA